CGGUGUGGAAAGUUCCAUUCUUUCCGGUGAUCCCUUGACAGAUGACGCGAGUGUUCUUGUCGACGAAAACGGGCGGCGAGGGCGGGGGAGCCGAUGAAAAAGAGCGAGACGGAGGAUUUGACGGUGAUGAAUGGGGUUGGUGGAUCCGAAACUUGGAAGAUAAAUAGGUGAUGAAUCUGGUGGCUUGCCUAGACAUGUUUUCGUACUGCGCUUGGCCCUGAUCUCCGCCUGCAAAGGAAGUAGAAGGAGCAGCGGGCAGCAAGAUACAAAGAAAAUCAAGGAAUCUCUCUC
rnacentral:lncRNA from 1 species